rnacentral:lncRNA from 1 species
GGCUCGGGCCACGACUCGUGUGUGUGCAAUAUCAAGUUUCCAUGUCAACUGGCCAUCGCUGUGCACAGUGGGCCGA